rnacentral:rRNA from 1 species
CCUACGGGAGGCAGCAGUGGGGAAUAUUGCACAAUGGGGGAAACCCUGAUGCAGCAACGCCGCGUGAAGGAAGACGGUUUUCGGAUUGUAAACUUCUGUUCUUAGUGAAGAAGAAUGACGGUAGCUAAGGAGCAAGCCACGGCUAACUACGUGCCAGCAGCCGCGGUAAUACGUAGGUGGCAAUCGUUGUCCGGAAUUACUGGGGGGAAAGGUAGCGCAGGCGGGAAGCCAAGUCAGCUGUGAAAACUACGGGCUUAACUUGUAGCAUGCAGUUGAAACUGGUUUUCUUGAGUGAAGUAGGGGUUGGCGGAAUUCCGAGUGUAGCGGUGAAAUGCGUAGAUAUACGGAGGAACACCGGUGGCGAAGGCGGCCAACUGGGCUUUAACUGACGCUGAGGCUCGAAAGUGUGGGGAGCGAACAGGAUUAGAUACCCCAGUAGUC